GAUGGUGCUGGGUCAUUAAGGUUGGGCUGUUGGUGCUGGGUCAUUAAGGUUGGGUUGAUGGUGCUGGGUCAUUAAGGUUGGGUUGAUGGUGCUGGGUCAUUAAGGUUGGGCUGUUGGUGCUGGGUCAUUAAGGUUGGGUUGAUGGUGCUGGGUCAUUAAGGUUGGGUUGAUGGUGCUGGGUCAUUAAGGUUGGGCUGUUGGUGCUGGGUCAUUAAGGUUGGGUUGAUGGUGCUGGGUCAUUAAGGUUGGGUUGUUGGUGCUGGGUCAUUAAGGUUGGGUUGUUGGUGCUGGGUCAUUAAGGUUGGGCUGUUGGUGCUGGGUCAUUGUUGGGUUGUUGGUGCUGGAUCAUUGUUGGGUUGUUGGUGCUGGAUCAUUAAGGUUGGGUUGUUGGUGCUGGGUUGUUAAGGUUUGGCUGUUGGUGCUCGGUCAUUGAGGUUGGGUUGUUGGUGCUGGGUCAUUAAGGUUGGGUCAUUAAGGUUGGGUUGUUGGUGCUGGAUCAUUAAGGUUGGGUUGUUGGUGCUGGGUCAUUAAGGUUGGGUCAUUAAGGUUGGGUUGUUGGUGCUGGAUCAUUAAGGUUGGGUCAUUAAGGUUGGGCUGUGGGUGCUGG
ensembl:lncRNA